AUUUUAAUUCAUUCGUAUUACCACUAGGUGCACUAGUACAAAAUUUCUCCGUCAGAGAGCACUUUCUGUAAUAUCUGCGUAAGUAUCUAGUAACACUUCAUUCUCUGUCUAUCAUAACCUUCAUAAAUCAUUUGGAUAGCGUGGAGAGAAGUAGUACAAAGAAUGCUUCCUAAGAAAAAAGACAACUCCAAACUAACAGGAUAAGAGUAACAUGCACUUUGGAAUACAAAAACGUAAGCAAUUUGUGUUAAAAAAAAGAAUACAUUGUAUCUAUCAGUAUAAUAAGAAAUAAAUAUAAAAUAUAACAAACAAUCAA